rnacentral:rRNA from 1 species
CCCUUAGAUGUUCUGGGCCGCACGCGCGCUACAAUGAUGCAUUCAACGAGUUUCUUCCUGGUCCGAGAGGAAUGGGUAACCUUUUGAAAGUGCAUCGUGAUAGGGAUAGACUAUUGCAAUUAUUGGUCUUCAACGAGGAAUUCCUAGUAGACGUAGUUCAUCAGACUGCAUCGAUUACGUCCCUGCCCUUUGUACACACCGCCCGUCGCUCCUACCGAUUGAAUGCUCAGGUGAGCCAUUCGGACUUUCAUCAUGCUGGUUUCCAGUUUUGAUGAAGGAAAGUCUUGCGAACCUUAUCAUUUAGAGGAAGGAGAAGUCGUAACA